rnacentral:piRNA from 1 species
UCUGCAGCUAUAAUGCCACGA